rnacentral:lncRNA from 1 species
GGGCAAGCCUGUGACUCCUGAUGUAGGGUAAAUGUUCACAGAGGGUAAUGAGUGUAGCGUAUUAAAGAGUAAUGAAUCAGUUUGGAAAUUUUGUGAGAUAUGGUUGCAAUUAAGAACAUAAAAUAAUUACUAUUUUAGAGUGUAGCCCUAUGCCACCCCUUUCUCUUCAACUUUCUUUCCUGAGUUUCUCUCUUCAUAGCAUAUUAUCUCACAUUCAACUUGUACCCUAUUAGUUAAAUGAGGAACACUGGCAUUUUUAGACUGAAAUAACCCCUAGGUAAGCCAAACACUGACUUUCUCAACAAUUGUUGUAUGGCCUGUCCUCCUCUUAAGCCAGCACCAAGGCCGUCUUGAAAUUAGUGGCAAAGAGGCCAAGAGAUAAGGUUAGGUGUUACAGUUGUGGUUUUCAGUUGGGAGAGAUAACUAACUUUGGAGGUUGGCAAGGAAACAGAAAAGUUUAUUAAAGGCCUCAGGGAAGCCAGAAGGGACUUGGUAACCUGAUAAGAGUGCUGAGGUCAGGACAGGGUAGGGGUGGCAUUGGGGGUGAGAAUGGUACUGGCAGGGGUGGUGGAGGAUGUAUGGGAGGCUGAAGCUGAGCCUGAGGAAUUGUACAUAAUAUUCUCUUGUAACAUUUUUUUUUUAAGUUUCAUAUCUACUGGUGUCAUUUUUAAUAUUUUUCCCAUCAGUAUUGCACAAGUACUGAAAAUGUGCUUGGUCUGACAAGGUGAAUUAUAAGAAUAUUUAAACAAAACAGAACAACACACACACACCUCAUUAGUUUGGGAAUUUCAUCACACUACAGCCACAUUCUUUUACGUUUACUACUUGUGUGCUUUCCUAGAUUGCCCAACCAAAAAAAAUAAAGCUCCCUAUUUCACAUCAUCCCCUACCCUGUUUGUUAAAAGUGGAAAAUUAGUAUUUAUUUGCCCCAACUGGCACUCUAGCAUAUAUUGCUCACUUGCCUGAUCUCAUGUUAGCCUGGGGCGAGGUGAACUGGAGUCUGAAACACUGAGAAAGUCCCGAGAUGAGACAGAAAAAGAGAUAGGGACAUGCAGGAGUAUUCUUUUAAAAGUUACUUUAAUAUUCACCCUCUUUCAGCCUUGAACAUCUUCAGUACUUGCCCCAGAUCGCUUAGGCGCAACAGUAGAAGGAGCAGUUGGUAGGGAAGGGUUCAUCUUUUUAUUCAGCAGCUGGGAAACCGUCGCUCUGCCGCUGGGGGAGGAGCAGGGUUUUUCCCUAAGGUGCAGUUGUGGGGUGAGGUUGGGGGCGGCACACUGAGCCUCCGCCUGAGAGCCGGAAGCAGGCACUGGAGGGGGAGUGGCGCUGAGCCGGGGGAGGAGUGAGAGAAGGAAGCGGCAGUCCCUUGGCAUACGGAGCCAGCUGAAAAUCAGGGUUGAAUGUUAAAAAGGGAGCGUAUUUAGCGACACUCCUGGCCCCGAAGAAAGGAACUGAGGCGACACGAAUCCCCCUGUCCAACACCCAGAAGACGAGACACAAGUGCCAGGGCCGCCAGCAGCUGUUAGGCGCUUUUUGGUGACGCGGCCUCCGCGCGCAGACGCGCUGACGGGCCGCGGCCUCCACGUCGCAGGUUCCGCAAAGGCUUGUGGGAG